CAGCAGCCGCGGUAAUACCGGCGGCCCGAGUGGCGGUCACUCUUAUUGGGCUUAAAGCGUCCGUAGCCGGGUUGGGAAGGCCUCCGGGAAAUCUGGCCGCUUAACGGUCAGAAUGCCGGAGGAUACUCCCAGCCUAGGGAGCGGGAGAGGCCGAGGGUAUUCCCGGAGUAGGGGUGAAAUCCUAUAAUCCCGGGAGGACCACCUGUGGCGAAGGCGCUCGGCUGGAACGCGUCCGACGGUGAGGGACGAAGGCCAGGGGAGCAAACCGGAUUAGAUACCCGGGUAGUCCUGGCUGUAAACGAUGCGGACUUUGUGUCGGACAAGCUAUGAGCUUGUCCGGUGCCGGAGGGAAACCGUUAAGUCCGCCGCCUGGGGAGUACGGCCGCAAGGCUGAAACUUAAAGGAAUUGGCGGG
rnacentral:rRNA from 1 species